AAUGAAGGAAGGCAACCUAAGUCCGCCGCGUCCUGCGGCAACGGUUGCAUGACCUACCUCCUGUAGG
rnacentral:sRNA from 1 species